rnacentral:lncRNA from 1 species
UUUUCAACGAAAAUGCCAUAAUAAUUAGAAUUAAGAAAACUAACAACACAAAAAAAUACUAUUAGCACGUAAGAGUUGAAACGAGUUUACCGGAUUGACGAACAACUUCUUGAAAAUUGAAAUUCGUUGAAAUUGAACACUUGAAAACUUCAAUUCAACAACUUCACAAUGUUUCACGAAUUUGCAACAAUAAAUUAAGCACUUGCACUAGAAAGAUUGAAAGAGUGUUUGAGAGAGAUUGAGAGAUAAUGAUGAAUUGGUGAAUAAAAAUGAAAGAAUGAGGGGGUAUUUAUAGUUGAGAAAUGGGAAAU